CAUUUACUGGUCUUGACCACACUGUAUUUCUCCCCCCUUGCUUUUUCAUGAACAACGCGUUGAGAGUCAGGGUUAAGCGCUGACGCGGUUAGACUCAGUGAACAAAGCAAGCGUGGUAAAGGGUCUGAUGAGAGUGGAAAAACACAGAAAGAGAGAAACGAAACGCUAUCGUUUCAAGAACUCAACUCAAAGCCAAAGCCAGAGAGCUCUCUCAAACACGAUGUCUUUGUAUAUUGGUAAUCUAUCAACUCGAACUCGGAGAGAUGAACUUGAACGUGUUUUUCGAAGGUUUGGGCGCUGUAACGUGCAGCUAAAAAAAGAUGGAUAUGGGUUCAUAGUAUUUGACUACCCUUCGGAUGCAGAGAAAGCUUUGAGAGCACUACAGGGCAAGAACAUCUGUGGGGAGCCAUUGACUCUUACAUGGUCGAAUAAACAGCCUCGACCUUUUCAAAAAUUUGCAAGAGCUGCUGGAUCACAUGAAUCGCAACGUGGAAGAAAUGCUGCGAGAGGAGGAGAUCAUGAUGGUAGAAAAAUGGGUUCAAAUGGUUGGAGAGAUUACAAAAUGCGUAUUAAACAACCAGAUAGUGAUGGUGGAAGGCUUGAUUAUGCUGACAUGCUUGAUAAUGAGGCAGGCGGUCGCCGUGGCCUUCAAGAAAACAUGCAAGAUUAUAUUGAGGAAGAACAUCAAGGUUUGCACGAUGAAGGUGGUAGUGUUGUAGCUGAUCUGGUGGACAAUGAUAGAUGGGGUGGGCAAGUUCUUGGCACCUCAAAUGGCAAUGGGAUUGAAAAUGGAAUAGGAUUUGACCGAUAUGAACCUUACCAUGGCUAUGAUGGAAAAGAUGAAAUUGAGAACCAAAGGAUAGGCUAUACAGUUGGUUCUCCCGUGCCAAGAAAUUCUCAAGAGAGUUUAGGGAGAGACCGGAUUGGUGAUGCAGCUCUGAACCAUCCUAAUGAUUCUAAACCUUGGCCAACUUGCUAUAGUUGUGGGGCUCCUGGUCACAAAAAGCGCGAUUGUCCCAAAGAAAAUGCUUUGCGGAGAAAGUCCACAAAGUUUGAUCUGAGGCAGAAUGAUGACAUUCGUAAAAAUGGUAGAGGCAGAGGAGAGAUGGAUAGGUUUGGAUCCAAAUCCUGGGGAAACCAGCAGUCAAGUAGGGAUACCAUAUCAGCAAGGCAACUAAGGGAUGAUAGGAGGGCAUCUGGUUCAAAAGAUCAUUGGAGGUUGAUAAAAAGUAGAAGUUCCCCUGUCACAAAAGAAACUGAUAGGGACCGGAGAACAGACGAUGGAGGAAAGAAGAGGAGGAGGGGUAUUGGAAGUCCCAAACGAAGUACUGCAAAAAAAGUUAGGAAGUCAAUUUCAUCACCUCAUCAUUCUGACUAUACUGCAUCCAGAUCUCGCUCAACUUCCCAAUCCUCUAAGUCUGUGCCAAAGUCAAGAUUUCAUUCUAGAUCGAGAUCUACAAAUUCCAGAGCACGUUCUUUGUCUUCUAAUUCAAGGUCCAGUUCAAAAUCACCUUAUUCUGGUACCAGAAGUAUUAAGUGUAGGUCAAGAUCAAGCUCGUCAACAUCCUUGUCUCUGUCAGUAUCGCUUGGUCAGCCUUUACCAUCUGCUCCAAAUAAGGCACAGUUGAAUUCAAAAGACUCUUUGUGUAAUGCUACCACUCCUAAAUCCACAGACAUUCCAGUUGAACGGGUACAACCGAUUGACCUUAAUGCUGGGUUGGAUAGUGCUGACUUUGAGAAUACAACGAUGGUGGUGAAUAAUGAAAAUGUUCUGUCAUCCUCAAAAGUAGAAGUUGACAUGGAAAAGAACCAAACUCUGGAGAGGGAUGACUAUGGCAACCAUAUUACAUCUGGGUCAUUUUAUGAAGUAACAAAUCCAAGCACACCAAUGACAGAGAAAGGUGCACUUACUGCUGGGAGUUCACCUCCAGAGAUUUUGGGAGAUGUGGUGAAAUUGAAAAAUUCUUCUGCCUUACAGAUGGAACAUAUGCCAGCAAAGCCAGAUACAGAAACUUUUGCCAAAUCCCAGACUGGUUGUUCAACCAGUAUAUCCUCAGAGGAGAUGUACAUGGUUCUGAAGCAUUAUGGCCUUGAACCCCCAGAAGAAAAUGAAAGGCAUCUAUCUAUGGAGGCAUACUUUGGUUCUGCUCGCUUUUGGCCGUGGGAUGUCAUCUACUACAGGAGGAUGAAAAAGGGUCUUAUUUCUAUUGAGAACUAUGAUAGACGGGUUGCUCAGAAUAAAGAAUUUGGCAUUGUUGAUAAGUAUAUCAGAAGCAGUAGUGGAUGGGGAGAGAUGGAUAAAGACAACUCUUGAAAGAUUUUGGACGAGGUGCCAACUUAUUUUUUGUCCUUGUAGAUCCUGAGAUGUAUCUUCAUUUUGAUACUACCAUUUCCCAGUUUCACAUGUAAUAUUUCUAGCAGAUCUCUCAAGUUGAAGUUUUGAACAGGAAGUCAUGGUUUUCCUCCACAGCAGUCAAUAUCUUUCUACAGUAGAAAGGGAACAAGAGACAGAGCGUGGUUUUUUCACAUUUGUUUGGUUUGUGACACAUUAUGUAUCCUAAGACAAUUUUGAGUUAUCCUGCAUGUUGGGUUUAAAAUUGGUUGAGAGAGAGAGAGGGAGAGAGAGAGAGUAUGUAGCAUAGGAAUUAAGUAGACAGUGAAGACUGCAAAAUUUGGCAUAGGCAAUUUCAAAUUUAGUAUCUAAUAGAAUAGCAAUUUUAUAAAACCUCA